AUCAAAGGAGCUUCGCUCGCUCUCUCAUUAAGCGUCAUUCUUUCCUGGCAUCUUUUUCACUAACAGGGAACUCAUUCUUCCCUCCAAAAUCUUGUCCCCUCUCUCACCAAAACCCUUUGGUACGAUUUCCUUGUCCCUUCUGUACUCGUUAAUGGCUUUGGGGCUUUACCAUCCCUGCAGUUACGACGCAUGGGUUCCUUUCCGCAGUAGAGAUCCGAUAUGUCUGGUCUUUGAUUUGUUUUUUUAGUAGGUAGUUAACUUUCUUGGGGAAAAGGGCUCUUGGCUCAGUGGUUAGGGCGAUGAAACUGCAAUGUAAUGCCAAGGGUUCCAAUUCAACCUUUUGAAGUUUGUUCAGCCAUUACUUUAACCCAAAAGGUUGUUAUAAAAUACCUUAAUUAUGAAUCAUGAAAUAUCAAACAUGUGCAGGUAUGUCAAUCCGAUGUUGGUUGCCACUUACAGUGUAAGAAUUAAUGUGUCAUCUUCCCUGCACAUGCAUAACGUUGGAAAUUUGUGUUCCCCAUUGUUGUGUGUGAUAAUGCUUUGUCCAGACCCAAUAACAAACUGAAGGCUUAGAUUUUAUCUGGGGCUGGAAUAGAAUGAACCUUGGGUUUAUGUACUCCAAAUAUAUUAAUUGGUGGCUUUUAAUGUUUGCCUUUUGGGAAUUUCCAACGUUAUGCAUAUUAUCUGUUUGAUAGUUUGAUUUGCACAUCUGUAAAAGCAUUGAAACUUAGAUAUUGUUUUGAAGUUGGCUGGAUUUUCUCAACCAAGUUUUCUUCUUCCCUUUUUUUUUUUUGCUAUACUUGAGUAGCAUCCAUAGGGACUUGUCAUCCAUCACUCCAUAACUGUGUGAUCUGCGUUGUCAUUUUUGCUGCUAGACUUUCCAUGUCCGCUGGAUUUUACUUUGCAAAUCUUAUUUAUUCAAUGAAAUUUUAUUUGUAAAGAAUGUGAAAUUUUUAAUUUGUUCCCAGAUGCGAGAGAAAGAGAGAGAGACUCAUUGUUAUCCUGGUCCUGGUUAAGGUUCAUGGUUAUCAUUCUACUGUUACGUUAUUGUUAAUUGAGUUAUUGAAUUCUAUUUAAUUAAAAAGGCUUCCCAAUGGCUGCUUAUUGUUAAUCCAACCUGUGGGUCAUUGAAAUGGUUGGAUCCUGUAUUGUCAGAGUUGGAACAUGAUGUACUUUUACCCCAUUCUGCUACAAAAACAUGUCAUAAUUAGUACGGUGAUGGUUUUGUUGGGCUCAAUAUUCCACUCUCAAAAAAUGCAACCCACAUGUUCAUCUACUCGCUCUGUCCAUUUGGUGGGAAAUCUCUUUGUUGACAUUCCUCAAGUCUCAUUCCAAGCACAUUGACAUUGGCCUAGAAAAAUUGGCCAGUAGUGAUUGGACUCGUGGGGCUUAACUACUCGACAUCUAUUGACUACUCUACCCCUAAGUGGCUUUCGUGGCUCUCAACCCAAAUAAAUGAAGAAACUCCCAUGUUCAACAAGCAAAUACUCCCAAGCAUCCCCAUAAAUGGCCCAUGUAGUGUUGAAUAAAGCCACCCAAACAUCCCGUGAUCAAGCUCUCCUUUUUGCACAGCUACUUAUUUCAUGUCAACAGGUUAAAUUGGAAUAUAGGGCUUGAAUUCUCAUGUUUUACCCACUCAACAAGUUAUUCCUCAAAUACUCAGGUUUGGGAUCCUUAGAAAAUUAGGUGGCAAUUGAUUGUGAGAGCAUAAAAAAAGUUGGAAAUGGUGCAAUUGGAGGUCUGUGUAAAGAGAUGUAUGGAGUGAUGGAGUGAGAUCGAGUUGAUACUUGUGUAGAAUGAUGGGAAAUAAAUGCAACUGGGUGGGAUGCUAUUGUUUAGACAUGUAGAGAUGUAUUGCAUGGUGACCAUGAUCCAAGGAACCUUGCAAAAUCGAGACAUUGUUUCACUGAAACUCUUGCAGGCCACACCAACUCCUGGCCUUUGAUUUAAAAUGUUUUUGAAUUAUUAAAAAGACUCACAUAUUGUUGAAAAUUUCAGCAGUAGAGAUCUGAUAUGGCUGUUCCAAAAAUUCAGAAGAUUGAGGGAUGCAGGGGAAAUUCAGAACUCAAAGAUUUCAAGAUAGAGUCUGAGAAGUCAAUCAGAAGUUUUGGUUAGAGCCAUUCUGCUGUAGUUGAUCAACCCAGUUACCGAGGAAAACUUUCAGGGUGGCCUCCCAGGACUUCAUUGUCACCUGAGAAUGGGAAAGAUAUGUUUAUGGACCUUAGGACAUUCAAGAGGAUCUUUGCUUGACCCAAUGGAAUGUAAAUUAAUUGUCUUGUUUAUGUAGCUUGUGUAAUCUUACUUUAUUAUGCUAAUUUUCAGUUUUCUUUCUUAUUCACAUGGUGGUUUGGGUUCAAAGUGUGAUGGUUAAUUUGUUAGUUUUCUCUUGAAACUUUCUUAAUUUCAGUCUUCUAUUUCUGAUUCAGAGCAUUGAAAAACUGAUUGGGCAUUAUUACUUCCAUGCUUUAAAGUUUUCUUGUCUCUCUAUUUUUCUUGUGGCCUAUAUUGAGCUAUUCCACCUUAGAAUUCCAGGGUGGACUUUGAACAAGGGCUUUGGUGAAAACUCAUACAGAAUACACUAGCCUGGCUAAAUGUCAUCGGACUUUGGGUAUUCGUCUAGUUCGAAUUCUGAGUAUUUGAGUCCUAGAGGCAAUGACACAGAUGAAUGUUCCUUGGGCUCAUUGGUGCCCGAAACCGUGGAAGGUUUGGAGGAAAGGAACAUUGAAGGUGUAAAGGAGAGGAACAUUGAAGGUGUAAAGGAGAGGAACAUUGAAGGUGUAAAGGAGAGGAACAUUGAAGGUUUAGAGGAGAGGAACAUUGAAGGAAGACCACUUGAGUAUGGUGAGACAAGUGCAGAGACAGGAUCAGAGGCGACAGAUAGCAUGCAGUAGUUUGACCAGCCUCGCCAUAUUCGUCAGCGUGUCCUUGAGUUUCAGGUGGUGUGAUGGUUAAGGAGCCAUUUUAACCGAUCCAUGUGGCAGCAAACCUAUGAACAUCUGGGAGAACUACGUCUUCAAUUGGAGAGUUAUGGGUUUGACCUCUUUUGCAGGACUAGGUUUAGAAAAGUAGACCUAAGACUGAUUGAGCACAUAUGUAUGAGGUGGAGGCCUGAAACCCAUACUUUCAUGUUUCCUAUUGAAGAAGCCGCCCCUACUUUAGAGGAUGCAGUGAGAAUACUGGAUCUAAGGAUCACAGGUAGCAUGUGCAUUUUGGAAGCAGUAAUGCAGCCUUAGGAAAAUUCAAGGAGCUACUAGGUUUUGAAAAAAACUAGGGGAAGAAGCAUGAAGUUCGGUAUGAGGAGCUAUUGAGUGUCUACAAGUCCGAUGGUAGACCGAACUUUGAAGAGGAAAAGGAUUUUAGCAUCUGAGCAUUUUUGCUUAUGGUUUUCGGAUCUACCUUAUUUGCCAAUACACAAGGGGGAAGGAUAAACUUACACUACCUAAACAUCCUUGAGGAUCUUGAGCAGCUAGGUAGUUAUUCCUGGGGUUCAGUGAUGCUCAGCCACUUAUAUAAGUGCCUGGACAAUAGGGUUCUUACAGGUCAUUCUUAUCUCGGAGGGUGUGUGGGGUUCCUCAUGUUAUGGAGCUUUGAGUACAUAGCCAUAUGUCGCCCGAUCCAGAGGCUCGAGAACAGCGAACUCUAACCCCAAGGUGCCAGGUGGAAUGGUUGAACAAAGAGAGACAUGCCCGAACAUACUUCCACAGUGCAUCGGGACCAAUAUGACAAGCUAAUCGAGGAGCAGUUUACUUGGCACCCUUAUGUUGACGAGGAAGACAACAAUCUGGUGAGGACAACACGUGUCUAUUGGCGUGCCCAAGUCAAUCUUAUAUUAGACGAUUCUCUACAAGGCUAUCAUCUUAUAUUAGACGAUUCUCUACAAGGCUAUCAUCUUAUAUUAGACGAUUCUCUACAAGGCUAUCAUCCUGAACGUCUUACAGAAAUUCGGGCUCACUCAAGAUGCCCCAGCGUUUGUUCCCCGUAGGCCUGUUCAUAAGAUGAAAGGGGGACUUCUUUAUGCAAGUGAGCUUCAGAGGGCACGUGAUAGAUGGGCGCAAGCAUCUAAGUUUUGUGCAGAUGGGGUUGAAGGUGUUGUACUGACACCUAGUUUUAGGUCUUGGUUAGAAGGGGAAAAAGUGGGGAAUCCCAGACUUUUUGGGAUGCAAGCAACUGGAUGGGAUUCAAACUCAAAGAUAAUAGUGCAUAAUUAUCUGCAAGGGGAUCCUCAUGUGCUACUGGAUUGUCUGAUGAAGAGAGCUCAAACAGAUGAAGGGCUAGGUCUUGAAUUAUUUAAUUUGGGUUCACAAGAGAGUAAGGCUCGCCUAGAAGCAACACUGAGAGAUCUGAAUUCCGCCAGAGAGGAGAUCGAGGUCCUUAAGAGGCGCCAUGAGGGAUGUGGCGAGGUUCCGAGUAAUUCUCUCAUUCUUAAUCGAUCACCGUGGAAGAGAUCAAUCUACCGUAGUCUAUUCGUGAAAAAGGCGGUGGCAUGAGGACCAAGCGCCUCAUGAUUUAGAAGCUCCUGACCAUGCUGAUUGGGUCAAUGACAGAAGUCAAUUAGUCGAGACUGUUGACUGCCUUACUAAGGAACUUGAUGAAGCCCGAUCUACCAUGGCCACUCAGCACCAUGAGGAUUCCUUAGAUGUGCCGAGGGUGAUGAUAUUACUGAUUUUCUUCCUUCUUCUUCUUCUCCUUCCUCUUCUUCUUCUCACUUCUCAUCAUAGCAUUUUGACUUACUUCUAAGCCGAUCAUGGGAUCGAAAGCACACACAAUGUUCCGACGUUGAGAGCUCGAAUAAAAUCUCUGAAAUCCGAAUUGAGAAUCUUCAAAGAAGUAAGUAUAACAGUAUGUAUUUUCAUUUGGUUUCAACUAGUUGUAAAUGGGUAAGUGAUAGGGCAUUAAAAGUAUAGCCUUUACAGGGAUUUAGAGAUAGGGUAAUAAAUUGUGGAUGGAAAUUAAUGAAUCUUUAGAGGACGGUGAUUAGAGAUAGAGAACAGUGAUUUAGAGAUAGAGAAAGUAGUAUAUAGAGGAUGGAAAUUAAUGAAUCUUUUUCAUCAAUUUUUUUCAUCAUUUAUUGUUCUUCUCUUAGCUCCUCUCUUGCCACUUUUCACUGUAUAUGUUCUUGUGGGGGUGUUUCCAUGACUUCUACAAAGGAGGAGCUUUUGCUCUCCUUUCUUGUAUAUAGUCUUGUAAGGUUUUUCUGUGAUCCUUGUAAGGAAGGCAUUUUGACACAUAUCAAUGGAGGGAGUCUUUUUUUUUUUAUGUCAUUGGAUAAAUUGCCUUAGCGAA